rnacentral:rRNA from 1 species
CGCCUUGCCAGCCCGCUCAGAACUCAAAGGAAUUGACGGGGGCCCGCACAAGCGGUGGAGUAUGUGGUUUAAUUCGAUGCAACGCGAAGAACCUUACCUGGUCUUGACAUCCCGGAGACCCUUAGGAAACUAGGGGGUGCUUCCAUCUGGAGGAAUCUGGAGACAGGUGCUGCAUGGCUGUCGUCAGCUCGUGUCGUGAGAUGUUGGGUUAAGUCCCGCAACGAGCGCAACCCUUGCCUUUAGUUGCCAGCAGUUCGGCUGGGCACUCUAAAGGGACUGCCGGUGUUAAACCGGAGGAAGGUGGGGAUGACGUCAAGUCCUCAUGGCCUUUAUGACCAGGGCUACACACGUACUACAAUGGCCGAUACAAAGGGCAGCGACACUGCGAGGUGAAGCCAAUCCCGUAAAAUCGGUCUCAGUCCGGAUUGGAGUCUGCAACUCGACUCCAUGAAGUUGGAAUCGCUAGUAAUCGUGGAUCAGCAUGCCACGGUGAAUACGUUCCCGGGCCUU